rnacentral:lncRNA from 1 species
ACAACAUCACGACAUUUAUUUAGAAGACUCGGAAGAGUCUUGGAUAAUAUGUUCAUACAAGCAGGGGUCACACGACCCGACACUCAAAGUCAUACAAACCAACGGAAGCAUAAAAGUUGUAUGAGUAUAGACAGUUGAAAGGAUAUGGCAUAAAGCCUGACUAUCUACAGAUCCCUUCUUAAAGGGGCCAGGUCGUAGCUGGGACACCAGCUACUCGUCAUCAUCGAUGUCUAGAAAGAACCCACCUGUUGGCUCGUGGGUAUUCUCUGCAACAAUUAUUAAGCAAACAUGAGUACAAGAGUACUCAGCAAGACUUUAGAACAGAUCUAUAUACUCAUGCUCAGGUACCAAUAAAAGGGGGUUGUAGUGUUUCAUGCAGCAAGCCAGCUUUGACUCUUGCCUAGGCUAAACUACAAUUUUAAAUAGUUUUAACAACUUUGAUUUCUCGCACACGAGUCCACUAACUCCACAACAAUACACCAUCAUGGAAUCAUUCCCGUCUUCCUACGGAAAUGCCAUCCAUGACACUCACACUUAUCUUGAUACUUUUAUGAGUAGCCAUUAAAGUUGUCUAUGAACAACAUAUGUCUCCAAGUAGUCCAUAUCCGCGAACGCGGCUAUUCGAAUAGAUCAUAACCCUGCAGGGGUGUACUUCUUCACACACGCUCUCGCCACUUAUCGCUAUGUGCACGUCAUGCACCUCGGAAACCUUCAAGCGGAAGCCCAGCGAGGGAGUCGGCCAUGACCGUUAACUAUGCUAAUACCUAGUCCAGGUUUAUCGCCUAUUUGAGAGUAACCCGCACGGAAGUCCGGCCGAGGUUUCUGCCACGGCCCCAAACGAUGUGCGCAGGGUUCCCAAGCCCACCAUCCGGGUGCCACUUGGUACACCGUGCCACUGCCUACCGCAUCAUAGCCCACCUCUAAGGUCAGCACUGUGCACGGCCUCCAGCAUGACUAUAAACACCGGAAACUACUUGCAACUCCUGGACCGAGUACUAGGCGAUUUAUAAGUCGAGAGGGUCAAUUAAGUAUCCCAGCGUGUGGUAGUAUGUAGUCUUGGAUUACAUACACGGAACUCAGUUCCUAAGGACGGUUCCAAUGAAACAAUCCGCCAUGUACUCCUACAUAGCCUUUCAUCGGUACCUUUACCAAAUCAGGUUCCACACUUAUUCUUUGUCACUAGAACACAUUCAUCCAUUCCCGUUCAUCACCCGGAUGAAACAUACCUGAACUCUAGGCAUAGCAUGCAUAACAGGAAUAACACAUCACAACUCAAGCAUCUACCAGGUAUGCUAGGUUGCAUGGUUUGGCUAUUUACUGUGACAACGAUAGGUCAUGCAAAGGAAUAGGUUCAACUACCGAAGUAAAGCAUUUGAAAUAGUGUGUCCUAAUGCGAUAAGUGGGAGCAGGAGCAAGAACAUGGGAUGAUAUCGGGAUGAUCAAAAGGGUGCAUGCCUUGUUGCUCAGCAGAGGGGUAAUAUCCGUUAGUCGAAUAUUCGGAUGUAUCCGGAGGGGCAGAGCCUACCGAAAUAACAACAUUCAAUUAAUAGCAAUCGUAUGCAACAAUCAUGAUGCAUGAUCAUGGCAUGAAAUGAAGAGUGAUAUGAUACAGUGUGGUUGGUAAAACCUUAGUUUGCAUCUGGUUUGAAAUCCAAAUUCAAAUAUCAUUUGAAAUAGGAUAUUAUCAAAUUACUUUAAUUGAUUUGACCUGAUGUUGUUUCAUAACUUUGUUUUCCACGCAUGAAUGUAGCACCAUUGUGUUCAUUGAUUUUUUUUAUCAAUUUGUAUAUAUUAUUUGUCAGAUUUGGAGUUGUGAUCAAUUUUCUAUGAAUUUCCAAAUUUUUGCAAUUAUUCUGGAAUUAUAUUAAUCAGAAUUAGAAUUAUUGCAUCGACAUGACAUCAGCAGGUCAGCUGGCCGUUUGAAAGUCAAACCUGAGUAAUGGGACCCAUUGGUUAGUGACUCUGGACAGAAAUUAGUUAAGUUUAAAUUUAAUUAGAUAUGUAACAGGGCUAGACCCACAUGUCACUGUAUGUUUAACUUAUAAUAUAAACAUUAUUUUUAUUUUAACUAAACUUAAUUAGCCAAGGGGUUGGCCCCACUUGCCAGUGACUUAGGGGAGUCAACCCCACCGGUGAUGGGGUCAAACCCACCAGCGGCGAGGCUCCAGCGACUCAGACUGGGCGUUCGGUUCCACCGAACCGAUCGGUGCGGUUCUUCGGUUUCUAUGGAGUUUCGGUUUUAACAAUUCGCUGACCGAUCACUCAACGAGUAGCUGACAAACCGCGGCUUCGGUGCACCGAUAAAUCGGUUCGGUCAUCGGUUCACACCGAACAACACCGAUAUACUAGUAGAAAAAGCAAGCAGCAACAAGAAUCUCUGCUACCGUACUUACACUACACAGUACCUUUAGGCUGUAGCACUGACUCCUAAAGUUAGGCUCCACGCCAGCUCACAUGCCCCUUUGUGCACAAAAUUUUAAAAUAAUAAAAAUUUAGAUAUGACUAGGGUGAGGGAUCCCUUUUGGCACAUCUCUGAGGAUUCACUAAUUAACCAUAAGCAGUAAUAACAAAUAAGUGAAAAAACUAAUAACAUGCUGCGAUUUAACCAGCAGAUCAGACAUAAGCAUACCAUAUCUAACUCAAAAUAUAACAUCCAAAAUAAUAGUUUAACACACGAACUAAACUCGCGCCCUCCAAUUGCAACUCAGACGCACUACUCUGACCUUGAAGCCAUCUGCUUACGGGUGUCCUUGUCAUUAUCCUCCUUCCCUGCUUUCGCUGCUUGCACCGUCUCAUCAGCGUGAUCGCUGCCAGCGGCCUUCUCGACAUCCAUAUGUACUAUAGCAGAUGCCAUUAGAGUUGAAGUAGGCACAACAGUGUUUGUCCUAAUGAUCUCUUAACCUCAGAUGACAUCUACAGCCAAACCAAGAUUCAUUGUCAACAAGUAUUCCACAUAAACAAAUCAAAGCACAUGGAAAUUGGAAGGAAUAGUAGUACAAUACUACUUCAACUCAAGAAUUUGAUUAUACACAUGAACAUAGUCCAAAUAUCUGGUGAGAAGAUUAUACACGCGAACAUAGUACAAAAAUUUAGGAAUAAUUUGUACUCCCUCCGUUCCAAAAUAAAUGUCGCAAAAGUUGUACUAAGUACAAAUUUUAUACUAGAUCAGCGACACUUAUUUCGGGCCGGAGGGAGUAGUACACAAGAAUACUUUAGGCUAAGAAUACAGUACUACAAAUCAACACAAGAAUCUGUGUAAUCCUCAACAGAAGAUUACUAUGUAUAAUCUUCUCAGCAGAUGGAUAGCAUUCUCAGCAAAUUCUCAGCAGAUGGAUAAUCUUCUCAGCAGAUGGAUAAUAUUCUCAGCGGAUGGCUAAUUUCUCAGCAGGAUCAACAAUUUCUUUGAAUUCCAUCGCGUUUCAUCUUUUAAGAUGGGGAAAAAUGAAGACAAGGGUCUAAACAGAGGACUGACCUUGCAGCCUUGCAGAAUCAUCCAAUGGGAGUAGAUACGUCGUCCGCAAGAGGGUGAUGGCAUGGUGUAAUCAAUGUUUCCGACGACGCUGCUAUGGAUCCGUCUCCACUCUCCAUCGAGCAGGCUAGGGUUCAGAGCUCCUCAUCCUCGCCGUCCCAGCGGGCGUUGCAGCAUAUAAGGAUGGGGCUGACCGGUUGAGCAUCGGGAACGGCAGGAAGGGACGGGAGGUGAAGCAUCGACCAUUAAAAUCCAUGCGGGAAGCGAGGAGGCGACCGGCGGCGGCUCGCUACCUAGGUACUCAUGAAUGCGGGUGCGGUCGUACGGUUGCGGGGGGUCGGGGGAUUAGUGAUCAGGCCAGAGUAGGUUAGUGCUCACAAGAAUAUGGGUCGGGCCUCUCUUUUUACUCGGUGUUUCGGUCAGUUCGGUUGACCGAGGGCUAAACCCG